UCUGCCCCUAGAGGCAUUGCAGGUGUGGCCACUGUGCCACAUGUGCAUCAGUAGGUGGCAGGGAAGGGAAAGGCUGUGUCUGUACUCAGUGUUCUGACCUGUGGACAUCUAGACACCCCCUGAGAAA